UACAGAGGAUGCAAGCGUUAUCCGGAAUGAUUGGGCGUAAAGCGUCUGUAGGUGGCUUUUUAAGUCCGCCGUCAAAUCCCAGGGCUCAACUCUGGACAGGCGGUGGAAACUACCAAGCUGGAGUACGGUAGGGGCAGAGGGAAUUUCCGGUGGAGCGGUGGAAUGCGCAGAUAUCGGGAGGAACACCGGUGGCGAAGGCGGUUCUCUGGGCCUGUACUGACGCUGAGGAGCGAAAGCGUGGGGAGCGAACAGG
rnacentral:rRNA from 1 species